rnacentral:misc_RNA from 1 species
AUAAAAUGACAAAAAUUCCAAGAAAUAACUUCUUAAAUUUAAUUUAAUACUCAACGAUAUUUAGCAAACAAUUCUUAUUGUUUCUCAAACAUUUUUUAGUUUAAAAUUAAUGUGUAAACAAAUAACAAAACCUUUUUAGAAGGGCAUCGAACCAAUCAAAGCCUAGACUUACCCCCAGAUUAUCAAAAAUUAAGAAGCUAGAAUAGGUAAUUGUAGUCUUUGCGUUGACAGUUCUACAUUCGACGACAAGUUCUUCAAGUAAUUACUUCCUGUCUUCUCACAAGCUAUUAAUUCAUCUAGUGCUUAAAUACUUCAUAAUUCAAGAUGCAGAGUCUUAAUUUAAUGUGUUUAUUAUUUGUAAUAAUCAACAUAAAUUUAAUUUUUGGGUUUCCUCCGUUUUCCAGUCACGGCCAUGAGUAUGAAGUAAAUUACUCCCAAGGAGGAAAACAUAUGAUAACAAUUAUAAAUGAAUUACAAGAUAUGAUAGAUUUUAAAAAUUCUGAGGGAAAAGACAUAAUAAUAGAUUACGUCGAUGAUUAUUGGAGGCCUUCAUUAAACUUUGGAAAUUUUUAUGAUCGGAAAACUUUACAAGACGUCGUUCCAAUAUCAAAACGCGACACUUAUCAGAUUACUGCAUCUCCCGAAUUUGUUUUUGAAGAACCCGAUUAUACUAACUACAAUAAUUACAUGAAGCAAUUAGAAAUUGAUACACAAAAAGAAAAAUAAAAAUUGAAUAAUUUAGUUACGAAUGAGGAAGAAAAGUCUCAAAAAUUCGAAAAAAAUCCGAUUAAACCGAUAAUAGACAAAAGUUGUGAUGAUGGAAGAAAAAACUUGGAAGUUGAUUGGGACGGCUCUAAGGGUGAUUAAGAGUGCAAUGCUGAUGUUGAAAUACCAGCAAACCAUCGUCCUUCGACUUUGUACUGUGAUCCAUCAGCUUCAGUUGUACAGCCAAAAACUCGUUGUUUGAAUGAAACAUUAGAAUACAGCGAGUUAAUUCCUGUUAUUGGUGACUACCGUCCAAUUGCCCCGCAAUUAGGAGAGUACAAAUUUAUUCCUAAACAACGAUGGCUCAAUAGUUUAGACAAUGACGCAGUAGUGUUACUAUAUCAUCCGUAUGCUGAGAGAUCUGCAAUUAAUAAGCUGAGAUUACUGAUAAUGAAAUACUACGAACGUUAUAUUUUCACUCCAUACAACUUGGAACAAAUAGUGCCGUUCGCUAUAGUGGUCAAAGGAUGUCGUUUAGUAAUGUCACACGUGGUACCAAAUGAAGUGGCGCACUUUUUACAGAACCAUGGACCUAAAAAAGUACCAUUGGGAAAGCCAAAUGACAAAAAACCGAAAUAUAAUUUGGGACUGAUUGAAGAAAACCGACCUCAUCAUCUCUUUGGACUCAUUUAUCAAUUAUCAUAAUAAGUUUACAUGAUUCUAUUAUAAUAAUAAUAACUACAAUUAUUAUUAUCAUUA